rnacentral:lncRNA from 1 species
AGAAGAGAGUGGAAGGAGAGGAGAGAGCAGGGAGAAGAGAAUGCGAGGAGAGGAAGGUGGAAGGAGAGGAGGGUGGAGGGAGAGAAGGCGGGGUUCACUCGCGAAGUUGGCCCGAGGCGGAUCCGGUUUCCUGCUCUCACCGCGGGGAGUCCCGGCGGCGCGGAGACCGCACCCGGGGCCUGCCCGUCCCGCGCUUUCCGAGCUCGGCGAGAGUUGGCUGCGUGAACCGGUGAAACGCCCAACGAAUGAAUGACCCUCCUACCGGGAUGGGGGCGCCGCGUCCCCGCGGAGGUUUCCUGAUGCAAGCAGAACCUCAUCAGGGGGAUUAAUCGCAAGGACUUCCGGAAGCCACUUGGCCACUCACGCGACCAUAAGACGAAUACACAGUCACGUAACCACCAUGGAUCAGGCCAGUGUCGACCUCUCUUAAAAUCUUUGUCCACCACUUCUGUCCUUGGAGAUUCAUUAUAUUUGACUUGUUGCUCUUGUUGGUCAUCACCAACACUUGAUGUGACUUUUUGCUUAAAAAAAAAAAGAAAAACUUUCUAUUAAAAUAAAAAGUUAUAUUCACUGCAGAAAAUUUGAAGAAAUAUUACUUUGUGAGGAAAAAGAAAAAUGGAAUAAAAGAAAAGAACUCUCCAUGACACCAAAUCUUUUAAAAUAUUUGGUAUAUUUCCAUCUGGUUUUAUUUAUUUAAUCUGUUUUUAAUGUGUAUACACUUUCCUGAGUGUGUGUACACUUUCCUGACCAUAAACUGUGUAUAAGAUCUGAGUAUUGUCUUUAUAUAAACUAACAUACACUGAUGCCACUCAAGGUGUGGUCUGUGAACGAGGCACAGAAUGAUGCAUGCGUGGGCAUCUCCAAGGAGGUUUUUAGAAAUGCAGAAUCUAGGCUCCACCCCAGGUCUACUUGAAUCAGAAUUUGCAUUUUGACAAGAUCCCUGGGUGAUUCACAUUAAAGUUUGAGAAGCAUUGACAUAUAUGCUGGAUUUAGUCUGUAUCCUGCUUUGUCACUUACCAAAAAUAAAACUUUUUUUUUUUUUAUAUUCUCCAUUAAUUGUUAAGAAUGCCAUGGAAAUAAUACUCUGUAGAAUUAUGAAAACAUUUAGAGGUUGCAAAAGAGUGAAAUAUAUACUGGUUUAUGAAUUGGCAAAGAGAUCUCUAAAAAGCUUUAUAAUGUUUUUUUAAAGAGCCUUAUUCUAAAGUUUUUCCUAAUGAAACAUUGAUUAUUGGAGUUCAAACUAUUUCAGAAAUGUUGUUUUAUUGUCUGAGAAUGUGAAACAAUACUUUAAAACCCCUUCAGGGAAGAAGGCCAGAAAGUCAUUAAAGAAAGCACAAG